GCCUACACAUGCAGUCGAGCGGUAGAGAGAAGCUUGCUUCUCUUGAGAGCGGCGGACGGGUGAGUAAUGCCUAGGAAUCUGCCUGGUAGUGGGGGAUAACGUUCGGAAACGGACGCUAAUACCGCAUACGUCCUACGGGAGAAAGCAGGGGACCUUCGGGCCUUGCGCUAUCAGAUGAGCCUAGGUCGGAUUAGCUAGUUGGUGGGGUAAUGGCUCACCAAGGCGACGAUCCGUAACUGGUCUGAGAGGAUGAUCAGUCACACUGGAACUGAGACACGGUCCACACUCCUACGGGAGGCAGCAGUGGGGAAUAUUGGACAAUGGGCGAAAGCCUGAUCCAGCCAUGCCGCGUGUGUGAAGAAGGUCUUCGGAUUGUAAAGCACUUUAAGUUGGGAGGAAGGGCCAUUACCUAAUACGUGAUGGUUUUGACGUUACCGACAGAAUAAGCACCGGCUAACUCUGUGCCAGCAGCCGCGGUAAUACAGAGGGUGCAAGCGUUAAUCGGAAUUACUGGGCGUAAAGCGCGCGUAGGUGGUUUGUUAAGUUGGAUGUGAAAUCCCCGGGCUCAACCUGGGAACUGCAUUCAAAACUGACUGACUAGAGUAUGGUAGAGGGUGGUGGAAUUUCCUGUGUAGCGGUGAAAUGCGUA
rnacentral:rRNA from 1 species